UACGUAGGGUGCAAGCGUUAAUCGGAAUUACUGGGCGUAAAGCGCGCGCAGGCGGUCCUUCAAGUCAGAGGUGAAAGCCCAGAGCUCAACUCUGGAACGGCCUUUGAGACUAGAGGACUUGGGUACGGGAGAGGUGAGUGGAAUUCCGAGUGUAGAGGUGAAAUUCGUAGAUAUUCGGAAGAACACCAGUGGCGAAGGCGGCUCACUGGCCCGUUACCGACGCUCAGGCGCGACAGCGUGGGGAGCAAACAGG
rnacentral:rRNA from 1 species